AACGAACGCUGGCGGCAUGCCUAACACAUGCAAGUCGAACGAGACCUUCGGGUCUAGUGGCGCACGGGUGCGUAACGCGUGGGAACCUGCCCUUAGGUUCGGAAUAACUCCCCGAAAGGGGUGCUAAUACCGGAUAAUGUCUUCGGACCAAAGAUUUAUCGCCUUUGGAUGGGCCCGCGUUGGAUUAGCUAGUUGGUAGGGUAAAAGCCUACCAAGGCGACGAUCCAUAGCUGGUCUGAGAGGAUGAUCAGCCACACUGGGACUGAGACACGGCCCAGACUCCUACGGGAGGGAGCAGGGGGGAAUAUUGGAACAUGGGCGAAAGCCUGAUCCAGCAAUGCCGCGUGAGUGAUGAAAGCCUUAGGGUUGUAAAGCUCUUUUACCCGGGAUGAUAAUGACAGUACCGGGAGAAUAAGCGCCGGCUAACUCCGUG
rnacentral:rRNA from 1 species